rnacentral:tRNA from 1 species
CGACGAGGAUGGGAUUCGAACCCACGGGGCAGAGAGCCCAAUGGAUUAGCAGUCCAUCGCCUUAAAUACUCGGCCAUGUCGUC